CUAUUUCCAGAGAGCCUUUGC
rnacentral:siRNA from 1 species